rnacentral:rRNA from 1 species
AUGCAGUGGUUGCCGUAUCGUGCCUUGUCCGAACAAGCGGGGUUCGGGAGGGCUACAAACCCAACAACAUCACCACUACCACCUCACAAGCCUGCAACAGUGGGAUCCACUGCGGCCUCAACCCACGAGGGUGGCCAAUGGUUCAAGGACAAUGAGAGAGGAUGGCUACCGACGAUCUCGUCGCCACACAUGGUGAGCUAUCGCAUGUUACUAAAGGAAAUAUGCCCUAAAGGCAAUAAUAAAGUUGUUAUUUAUAUUCCCUUAUAUCAUGAUAAAUGUUUAUUAUUCAUGCUAGAAUUGUAUUAA